CACGUGUAUAAUUAUCAGCUUCUAAAACUGAACAUCAUUUAAAUGAUUAGUUUUACUUAUUUGCUCUCCUCAUCACAAAGUUUAUUGAUGAAUUUUAAUUAUUAAUCAAAAUUACUGUAAAAUAAGUAAAAUAGCAAAAGCUAUUAUGCAUUAUUCUAGAUAAUAAUAUUUUUUUUUAGCUCUGAUCUUUCAAAUCGGACAAAUCUUUCAGAUUUGUCCGAUUAUGAAGACAUUACUGAUACAUAUAAAGUAGAAGAAGACACUACAACUUUGAAAGUUUUAGACAACACCAAGCCUUGCAUUUGCGAUUCAGUUGAGGAAGCUACUCGAUUUCUUCAUAGUUAUGAAAUCAGUAAUUCUGUUAGGUUUGCUGCCCUUUCCACUCCAAAGAGCUUCGAAAGUUCAGUUAUACAUGGAACCCAACAUAAAGUAUUAUGGGAAACAUCUGAAGACUAUGCUACUCCUUAUAUUAUAUUAUCUACAAAAAGAUACAAUUGUCACCAUGGUUUCGAUCGGAACGCUGCUGCAAAAAGGAAGCAUAAUGACGCAAAAGAAAAUCAG